rnacentral:rRNA from 1 species
AUUGAACGCUGGCGGCAGGCCUAACACAUGCAAGUCGAGCGGAUGACGAGAGCUUGCUCCUGGAUUCAGCGGCGGACGGGUGAGUAAUGCCUAGGAAUCUGCCUGGUAGUGGGGGACAACGUUUCGAAAGGAACGCUAAUACCGCAUACGUCCUACGGGAGAAAGCAGGGGACCUUCGGGCCUUGCGCUAUCAGAUGAGCCUAGGUCGGAUUAGCUAGUUGGUGAGGUAAUGGCUCACCAAGGCGACGAUCCGUAACUGGUCUGAGAGGAUGAUCAGUCACACUGGAACUGAGACACGGUCCAGACUCCUACGGGAGGCAGCAGUGGGGAAUAUUGGACAAUGGGCGGAAGCCUGAUCCAGCCAUGCCGCGUGUGUGAAGAAGGUCUUCGGAUUGUAAAGCACUUUAAGUUGGGAGGAAGGGCAGUAAGCGAAUACCUUGCUGUUUUGACGUUACCGACAGAAUAAGCACCGGCUAACUCUGUGCCAGCCGCCGCGGUAACAC